AGCGAACGCUGGCGGCAGGCCUAACACAUGCAAGUCGAACGAACUCUUCGGAGUUAGUGGCGGACGGGUGAGUAACACGUGGGAACGUGCCUUUAGGUUCGGAAUAACUCAGGGAAACUUGUGCUAAUACCGAAUGUGCCCUUCGGGGGAAAGAUUUAUCGCCUUUAGAGCGGCCCGCGUCUGAUUAGCUAGUUGGUGAGGUAAUGGCUCACCAAGGCUACGAUCAGUAGCUGGUCUGAGAGGAUGACCAGCCACAUUGGGACUGAGACACGGCCCAAACUCCUACGGGAGGCAGCAGUGGGGAAUCUCGCGCAAUGGGCGAAAGCCUGACGCAGCCAUGCCGCGUGGAUGAUGGAGGUCUUAGGAUUGUAAAAUCCUUUCACCGGUGAAGAUAAUGACUGUAGCCGGAGAAGAAGCCCCGGCUAACUUCGUGCCAGCAGCCGCGGUAAGAC
rnacentral:rRNA from 1 species